GCCAGGUGUGGAGGCGCAUACCUAUAAUUCCAGCUACCCAGGAGGCUGAGACAGGAGGAUUGCAAGUUUGAGGCCAGUCUGAACCUUAGAAAGACUCUGUCUCAA
rnacentral:sRNA from 1 species